GUAUGGUAAGGGCACACACUGUACAGCCAGUGAUACCCCAGGUGUAUGGUAAGGGCACACACUGUACAGCCAGUGAUACCCCAGGUGUAUGGUUAAGGCACACACUGUACAGCCUGUGAUACCCCACGUGUAUGGUUAAGGCACACAGUGUACAACCUGUGAUAUCCCAAGUGUAUGGUUAGGGCACACACUGUACAGCCAGUGAUACCCCAGGUGUAUGGUUAGGGCACACACUGUACAGCCAGUGAUACCCGAGGUGUAUGGUUAGGGCACACACUGUACAGCCAGUGAUACCCCAGGUGUAUGGUUAGGGCACACACUGUAGAGCCAGUGAUACCCCAGGUGUAUGGUUAGGGCACACACUGUAGAGCCAGUGAUACCCCAGGUGUAUGGUUAGGGCACACACUGUACAGCCAGUGAUACCCCAGGUGUAUGGUUAGGGCACACACUGUACAGCCAGUGAUACCCCAGGUGUAUGGUUAGGGCACACACUGUACAACCAGUGAUACCCCAGGUGUAUGGUAAGGGCACACUGUACAGCCUGUGAUACCCCAGGUGUUUGGUUAGGGCACACACUGUACAGCCUGUGAUACCCCAGGUGUAUGGUUAGGGCACACACUGUACAGCCAGUGAUACCCCAGGUGUAUGGUAAGGGCACACACUGUACAGCCAGUGAUACCCCAGGUGUAUGGUUAGGGCACACACUGUAGAGCCAGUGAUACCCCAGGUGUAUGGUUAGGACACACACUGUACAGCCAGUGAUACCCCAGGUGUAUGGUAAGGGCACACACUGUACAGCCAGUGAUACCCCAGGUGUAUGGUUAGGGCACACACUGUACAGCCAGUGAUACCCAAGGGUGUAUGGUUAGGGCACACUGUACAGCCAGUGAUACCCCAGGUGUAUGGUUAGGGCACACACUGUACAGCCAAUGAUACCCCAGGUGUAUGGUUAGGGCACACACUGUACAGCCAGUGAUACCCCAGGUGUAUGGUAAGGGCACACACUGUACAGCCAGUGAUACCCCAGGUGUAUGGUAAGGGCACACACUGUACAGCCAAUGAUACCCCAGGUGUAUGGUUAGGGCACACACUGUACAGCCAGUGAUACCCCAGGUGUAUGGUUAGGGCACACACUGUACAGCCAGUGAUACCCCAGGUGUAUGGUAAGGGCACACACUGUACAGCCAGUGAUACCCCAGGUGUAUGGUUAGGGCACACACUGUACAGCCAGUGAUAACCCAGGUGUAUGGUAAGGGCACACACUGUACAGCCAAUGAUACCCCAGGUGUAUGGUUAGGGCACACACUGUACAACCAGUGAUACCCCAGGUGUAUGGUUAGGGCACACACUGUACAGCCAGUGAUACCCCAGGUGUAUGGUUAGGGCACACACUGUACAGCCUGUGAUACCCCAGGUGUAUGGUUAAGGCACACACUGUAGAGCCAGUGAUACCCCAGGUGUAUGGUUAGGGCACACACUGUACAGCCAGUGAUACCCCAGGUGUAUGGUUAGGGCACACGCUGUACAGCCAGUGAUACCCCAGGUGUAUGGUAAGGGCACACACUGUACAGCCAGUGAUACCCCAGGUGUAUGGU
rnacentral:lncRNA from 1 species